UCAGGCCUAACACAUGCAAGUCGAGGGGUAGAGUUAGCUUGCUAACUUGAGACCGGCGCACGGGUGCGUGACGCGUAUGCAAUCUACCUUGUACAGAGGGAUAGCCCAGAGAAAUUUGGAUUAAUACCUCAUAGUAUCUUCGAGAGGCCUCUCUUGAUUAUUAAAGUUCCAACGGUACAAGAUGAGCAUGCGUCCCAUUAGCUAGUUGGUAUGGUAACGGCAUACCAAGGCUAUGAUGGGUAGGGGUCCUGAGAGGGAGAUCCCCCACACUGGUACUGAGACACGGACCAGACUCCUACGGGAGGCAGCAGUGAGGAAUAUUGGUCAAUGGGCGAGAGCCUGAACCAGCCAUGCCGCGUGCAGGAAGACGGUCCUAUGGAUUGUAAGCUGCUUUAUACAGGAAGAAACCCUCCCACGUGUGGGAGCUGAC
rnacentral:rRNA from 1 species